AAAUACAGUUGUAGAUCAAAUAUUUCUCGUCCUGGCUAGCUAGUGCUGUAUCGGUAUCGGGGUAUGAUCAGGUGGCACAGUGCGAGCAUACUUGCAGCGAGUCUUUUCAAAACGUGCUACUGCUAAACUGCAUUCCGUGUUACUGAUAAGUCUCGAUCAAUAGCAACACAUUUCAUUCUCUCACACUACUGAUAAGUCUGAAUCAAUAGCGUGGUUUAUUCUCCCGCGCUACUGGUAAGUAGCAGUAGCGAGUUUUUCUUACACGCGCUACUGCUAAAUCUUCACCUAUAGGCUUUUCCCUACUAGUGACAGGAUAAGGGUCGCCGAGGCCUAUCUCACGGAGUAAACGACGGCGGUGGAGCCGGCUGAUGCGGCGGCGCUGGCAGCCACAGAGGAGGAAGCCAUAUGUGCCCGUACUUGAAGAACAUAAGCGGAGAAAAACACGCGCCCUCGCCCGCGAGCAGAAUCAGGCGGUCCGUUUAAUACCCCGACUACCAUCGAAGGAGGUGGAGGAGGUGAGUAACGGCACGGACAGCUCCGACGACGAGCAGACCCGUCUCGAUCUGUAUUGCGUCUCCGACCGGUCCUGCGAGAAGGACGACAAGGACUCUGGGAAAGGUAAGGACACGCGUGGUUAGUGUCCAUCAUAGCCGAACAUGUCAAAUUUUGGUAGUCUGAUGGCAUGUUAGUAGUUAGAGAGUAGUGAGACGAUGCGUAUAAAUGCAUCGACGUAGUUGCAUGGUUUGUAUGAACUUGAGAUAUAAGAUUUGAGGUGUCUGGUUAUAGAAUGCAUUAUUUGAGACGUGAUCGGUAAGUGUCCGCGGACGCGUUUGUAGGCGUUUGAGAGGCUGGAUUUGCAUGUUCCGACUGUAUAUGCUUUAAAAGUACUAUACUAUACAAGCUAAUAAAUAUUAG
rnacentral:lncRNA from 1 species